GGACUGUAGCUCAUUGGCAGAGCAUUCGCCUUAUGGGCAAAAGGUACUGGUUUCAGUCCCCAGUAGUAUCU